UAUGUUCAAAAACCGGGAAGCCCUAGAGAGUAGAGGGAGAACCCAAACAGAGAGAGAGGGAGAGAGGGAGAAGCGACCGAUAUGGGGGACAGAGACGACUACGAGUUUCUUGCCCUGAGACGCCAUUUCUUCCGUCAACCGGAAAGUUAACCCGAUUGGGAUUUGGGGCGGUCAUCGAGUUCGGUCUCCGAGGAAAAGCCGGGGCACUGGACCAUUAUGAUGGGGCCAUAAGGUAAGAGAGGCGACAGAGAUGGGGGAAAGAGAUAACUACAAGUUUCUUGCCCUAAGAGACGCCAUUUCUUCCAUCAACCAGAAAAUUAACCUGAUUGGGGUGGUCAUGGGGUUCGAUCUCCUGCGGAAAAGCAGAGGCGGUAAUAAAAUUUUGAACGAAAAACUACAUCAUUAUGCUAAUUGAGUUUUGUGUUCCAUAACUUCAGAUCCGGUUUAGCUUUCAUUAUGUUUUGGAUAUACACAUAGAUUUGUAUUAGGUUUAUUAUAAUUACUGAUAGAUAUGUUUUGGCUGGCCAUGAUGACAUAAAGGCCAGACUUAUGGCUGCUACCGUACCAUCGCUUGAGUGGUUGGUUGGUAGUAGAUUGAUGAAAGUCGCAAUAAAGGUGUUUGCUGAGCCAGUUGUCCCAUCCUUUGUGUGUUUGUGAAUAACAUUGACUUUGUUUCUUGUGUGAAUUCCAAAUAGGAGUUGCUGUUUGUCAGUCAACCUUAUCACUUGAAACCAAGUCAUAUCUUUGAGCUUUUGUUUUAAAUGUAUACUUAGCCUUUUCUUUAGAAGGACCAUUAUGGUAGGGUGAUGAGAUAAGAGAGGCGACAGGGAUGGGGGACAGAAACGACUACGAGUUUCUUGCCCUAAGGGAGGCCAUUGCUUCCGUCACCAGAAAGUUAACCUGAUUGGGGAGGUCAUUGAGUUCGGUCUCCCAAGGAAAAGCAGAGGCACUGGACCAUUAUGAUAGGGCCAUAAGGUAAGAGAGGCGACAGAGAUGGGGGACAGAGACAACUACAAGUUUCUUGCCCUAAGAGACGCCAUUUCUUCCAUCAACCAGAAAAUUAACCUGAUUGGGGUGGUCAUGGAGUUCGAUCUCCUGAGGAAAAGCAGAGGCGGAGGAAUCGUUUGAAGGUUAUCCCUCCGUGGAUGUGUUAACAAAGAAGCGAAAUAAGUUGUUUGGAGUAGCUGUCUGUCAACGAGCAUGUCCAGGAAAUUAAGAAUGCUCCAAGGAAUCUGCAGUGGAUUCGCUGUUGCCUGGAAUCUUAUUGAAGAGUGAUAUUUGGGGAAGCAGGCACUAUAGGAUCUUUGGAACGAAGUUUGUGGGUUACGAGUUUGACAAACCAUGGAUGAUGGAACUGAGAGCCAGCACUCAACAUAAGGAAUAAAAAAAAUGUUACAA